rnacentral:ribozyme from 1 species
UUUCCCUUUUUUUUCCCUUUUUUCCCUUUUUUUUCCUUUUUUCCCCUU